rnacentral:lncRNA from 1 species
AUGAAGUAAUAUAUAAAUAUUCCCAACCAUUUCCUAGAUAUGGCUCCGGACGGACGGAGGACGGACGGACGGACAACGCCAAAACUAUAUCCCUCCGACUUUCGUCGGGGGAUAACAAACGAUAGAACAGAAGGAAGGAAAAUACAAAACGACUAAAUGGAUAUUUACCAACAUUUGCUUUCAUACAUUGAGUAUUUGGAAAGUGUUGUUGUAUCGAAAGAAAAGGAUAUUGUAACAGAGGAGGACUAUAGAAAAUUUCCUUUUAAGACUUUCGAAUACAUACACAAACUUCUUUCUUUGAUAAAGAAAAAUAAUGGUAAAACUAUAUCUGUUCUCGAAACAGAAAAAAUGAAACAGCAUCGUGAAAUUCUUUUAAAAAGUGAUGAAUACUUGAAACUACAACAACAGCAGCAAAAUAUUGGAGAACUAGUUCCAGAAUUCUCCAAACUUGUCUGGGACUCAAGCAAAUAUCAACAGGAAUAUAAAAAAACUUCAAGAAGAGAACAAUAGAUUAAAACAAAAUAUAUUGGAUUUACAAAAAUCUUACAAAACUCCAAAAACAAAAUGAUGAAUCUAAACAGAACACACCGAAAAAACAACAAAAUCACCCGAAACAACAGCAAUAAAAUACAAUAAAAUAAAAACAUUCCUUCAACAAUCAUAUUCAGAAGAAAGAAGAAUAACCGGAGAACAUACGCCAAAAGAAGAAUCAACCGAAGACGAAUGUAUUGGACAACUGAAAACAUUUGACAGUUUAAUCAACUCAGACAAGAAAAACAUAAUUUUGAACUCAAGCCACAAAGGACACGUCUUAAAACAAUUGAAAAUAUUAUCAAA